GACGUAGGGUGCGAGCGUUGUCCGGAUUUAUUGGGCGUAAAGGGCGCGUAGGCGGCCCGUCAAGUCCCGUGUGAAAGCCCCCGGCUCAACCGGGGAACGGCGCGGGAAACUAGCAGGCUUGAGUUCGGGAGAGGGAAGCGGAAUUCCGGGUGGUAGCGGUGAAAUGCGCAGAUAUCCGGAGGAACACCAGGUGGCGAAGGCG
rnacentral:rRNA from 1 species